rnacentral:rRNA from 1 species
CGGACGGGUGAGUAACGCGUGGGUAACCUGCCUCAUACAGGGGGAUAACAGUUAGAAAUGGCUGCUAAUACCGCAUAAGACCACAGUACUGCAUGGUACAGUGGUAAAAACUCCGGUGGUAUGAGAUGGACCCGCGUCUGAUUAGGUAAUUGGUGAGGUAACGGCCCACCAAGCCGACGAUCAGUAGCCGACCUGAGAGGGUGACCGGCCACAUUGGGACUGAGACACGGCCCAG